UACGUAGGGGGCAAGCGUUGUCCGGAAUCAUUGGGCGUAAAGCGCGUGUAGGCGGUUACGUAAGUCUGCUGUGAAAGCCGGAGGCUCAACCUUCGAAAGCCGGUGGAUACUGCGUGACUAGAGUACGGAAGAGGAGAGUGGAAUUCCUGGUGUAGCGGUGAAAUGCGCAGAUAUCAGGAGGAACACCAACGGCGAAGGCAGCUCUCUGGGACGUUACUGACGCUGAGACGCGAAAGCGUGGGGAGCAAACAGG
rnacentral:rRNA from 1 species